AUGAUGACUCUCGGCAACGGAUAUCUCGGCUCUUGCAUCGAUGAAGAACGUAGCGAAAUGCGAUACCUGGUGUGAAUUGCAGAAUCCCGCGAACCAUCGAGUCUUUGAACGCAAGUUGCGCCCGAGGCCACCCGACCCAGGGCACGCCUGCCUGGGCGUCAUGC
rnacentral:rRNA from 1 species